rnacentral:rRNA from 1 species
GACGUAGGAUGCGAGCGUUGUCCGGAUUUAUUGGGCGUAAAGAGCUCGUAGGUGGCCUGUCGCGUCGGCUGUGAAAACUCGGGGCUCAACUCCGAGCUUGCAGUCGAUACGGGCAGGCUAGAGUUCGGCAGGGGAGACUGGAAUUCCUGGUGUAGCGGUGAAAUGCGCAGAUAUCAGGAGGAACACCGGUGGCGAAGGCGGGUCUCUGGGCCGAUACUGACACUGAGGAGCGAAAGCGUGGGGAGCGAACAGG